AACGGCCAUACCAUGCUGAAUAUACCGGUUCUCGUUAGAUCACCGAAGUCAAGCAUCAUUGGGCGCGGUCAGUACUUGGGUGGGUGACCACCUGGGAACACCGCGUGCCGCUG